CGUCUUGGGGAAGCCCCGCGGGCCUCACAGCAGGCGUCCAGAGGGCUGCUUCUGUAGCUUUGCUCUAUCCGCAGUGCCUCUCGUCUCCUCGGCGCUCUGGAGGGAAGAGGGUCCGACGUUCCGGGGUUUUGAUUGAAGGACCAGCAACGCAGGUGGAAAACCGAGCCCGGCUGCCCGGGGUCUCGGGCCGGGGUCCCGGGCCGGCGGUCAGCGGCACGGUGGCCCUUAUUCCUGCUUCACUGAGAUAAAAAAUCAUCAGUUCCAACAACCUUGCCACUCUUUGAAAAAAAAAAAAAUUCUACCAUCAGUUUUGUGAAAGUUCUCAUAUACCUAAAGGAACAGGACUUCCCUCUUGCACACUCUUCGUCUCGUACUAGGUUCUUCCCCCUUUCAGGCUGAAAGAGUUUGACCCUAGGUGUAGGGGUCCCUUCACUCUACUUUCCUCAAGCUGUGUUUCUCUUCCUUGGUCCUUUCACUCUCAAACUGCUCUGGCAAGUCUAUUUGUUCCUCCCUUUCCUCCGAGAAUCUCCCCCAUAAACUCAAGUCACCCUAGUCGUCUCAUCCCCUCAAAAGUUCUUGCAAUGAUUAAAUAAUGUAU